GACGAACGCUGGCGGCGUGCUUAACACAUGCAAGUCUAGGGGGCCCGCAAGGGUCACCGGCGAACGGGUGCGUAACACGUGAGCGACCUACCCUGGAAUGGGGGAUAGCCGGCCCAACGGCCGGGUAAUACCGCAUACGCUCUUCGAGCUGCAUGGCUUGGAGAGGAAACCUUUUGGGUUCCUGGAGGGGCUCGCGGCCUAUCAGCUAGUUGGUGAGGUAAUGGCUCACCAAGGCGAUGACGGGUAGCUGGUCUGAGAGGAUGGCCAGCCACAUUGGGACUGAGAAACGGCCCAGACUCCUACGGGAGGCAGCAGUGGGGAAUAUUGCGCAAUGGUCGAAAGACUGACGCAGCGACGCCGCGUGGAGGAUGACGCCCUUCGGGGUGUAAACUCCUGUUGCUCGGGACGAACCUCCCCAUUCGUGGGGACUGACGGUACCGGGUGAGGAAGCACCGGCUAACUCUGUG
rnacentral:rRNA from 1 species